rnacentral:snoRNA from 1 species
GGCUGAUGACGAUACCACUGCUCCGAGGCGGGGUGGCUCCCGUCAGUGACGAGCCCUAUGAGUUCCGAGGCC